AACGCGAAGAACCUUACCCAGGCUUGACAUGGCCUUGACCGGUGCUGAAAGGCAUCUUUCCCGCAAGGGACAGGGUCACAGGUGUUGCAUGGCUGUCGUCAGCUCGUGCCGUGAGGUGUUGGGUUAAGUCCCGCAACGAGCGCAACCCCCGUGCCUAGUUAGGCUGUCUAGGCAGACUGCCGGCAGAGAGUCGGAGGAAGGCGGGGAUGACGUCAAGUCAGCAUGGCCCUUACGUCUGGGGCUACACACACGCUACAAUGGCCGGUACAACGGGCAGGCGAGGCCGCGAGGCGGAGCAAAUCCCAGCAAAGCCGGUCUCAGUUCGGAUUGCAGGCUGCAACUCGCCUGCAUGAAGGAGGAGUUGCUAGUAACUGCCGGUCAGCACACGGCGGUGAAUAUGUUCCCGGGCCUUGUACACACCGCGCAUA
rnacentral:rRNA from 1 species